rnacentral:rRNA from 1 species
UAGGGAAUCUUCCACAAUGGACGAAAGUCUGAUGGAGCAACGCCGCGUGAGUGAAGAAGGGUUUCGGCUCGUAAAACUCUGUUGUUAAAGAAGAACAUAUCUGAGAGUAACUGUUCAGGUAUUGACGGUAUUUAACCAGAAAGCCACGGCUAACUACGUGCCAGCAGCCGCGGUAAUCCGGAGGUGGCAAGCGUUGUCCGGAUUUAUUGGGCGUAAAGCGAGCGCAGGCGGUUUUUUAAGUCUGAUGUGAAAGCCUUCGGCUCAACCGAAGAAGUGCAUCGGAAACUGGGAAACUUGAGUGCAGAAGAGGAAAGUGGAACUCCAUGUGUAGCGGUGAAAUGCGUAGAUAUAUGGAAGAACACCAGUGGCGAAGGCGGCUGUCUGGUCUGUAACUGACGCUGAGGCUCGAAAGUAUGGGUAGCAAACAGG